rnacentral:lncRNA from 1 species
CGGGCUCACCAACAAACCUAAACCGUUGGUUUUACGGGUCACCAACAAACCUUUACCGUUGGUUUUACGGGCUCACCAACAAACCUUUACAAGAUGAUUAAAAAGAAGAAGAAAGUUGAAACUCCUAGAUGAGCAAAUAUAACAAUUAUAAGCUACAAAGAAGAGUUUAGAAUAUAGUUAUCGCUUUAAUAAGGCUCUUCUCUUCUUUGUCAAGAUUGCUUCGCUCUUCAAGGGUUGGUGGAGCUCUUAAUGUCUCUUGGAAUUUGCUCAACCACUUUCUUUUGGCUCUUU